rnacentral:misc_RNA from 1 species
UUGCCAUGGACCAAGUCUUGCCCAUGUAGGAAAAAACCCUUUCCACAAUGCUCUUAAUCCCUCAAUUUUAACUGUCUUCACCAGACAAUCGUAAGAGCUCUUGUAUCUAAUCUUGCCUUCCUUGGCCGCUACCUGAUUCAUCAUUCUUGUCUUCACUACAUCAGCUGGACAACUCAAAGCAGUUGCAGAAAGCCCUGACAUAAUGGAUGCUAAGGUGUGGGCAUAUAUAUUAUCAGCAGCUAUGCGGUUAUGGAUGACAAAUCUUUUUGCGUGAUCGUAACAGGCUAAUUCUCCCAUGUUCACUAAAAAUGCCCUUUGGAUGUUCGGGAAAACCCCUUUCCAAAGUCCACCAAAGCCUUCUGCAUGCACUAUCUUGUUAAAUGCAUCGAAAGGCCCCAAAUACCUAGGUUGGUGACCCUGGCUUACCAUACGACUAUCUGCUUGCAUUCGCACCUUAACAAGAUCAGCAGGACUAGCCACCACCUGC